rnacentral:tRNA from 1 species
GCCCGGGUGGUGAAAUUGGUAGACACGCUAUCUUGAGGGGGUAGUGGCGAGAGCCGUGCCGGUUCGAGUCCGGCCCCGGGCACCA